CCGCCGCCGUUUGAAAAUGAGUUGGGUGCCGCUGCCCCUGCCGCAGCCUGGGAGCUGUUCUCGGUCUAUAUAAUGAACUCUUUGUCCUCGGGGAAGGAGCCAAGGAGUGGAAGACGACAAUGAGCAGCACCCAACAGGAGAUGACCGUGAUGGUGGACUCGACGGACAAGAGCUAUGUUGAGCAAGGUGCAGACUGCGGCUAGACGUUCUCGUUCAUGGACACGCACAAUCUGAACGGGAGAGGUAAGAGCUGCACACCUUUCUUAGCUUCUGGUACAUCUCUCUGGUUUUCCAGGAUUCCAGAUAGCACUGGGGGAUCACAAAAACAACUCCCUAAGGAAUUCUUAUGCCCUAUUGGUUUCUCCUGUCCCUUUGAACGAUCCUGAAAGCUUCUCUAAUGUGCCACAGGUUGCUUAGGAGAGAUGAUGUGAAGAUGAUAGGGACAGAUCAGAGAGCACAGGAAGCCACAAUUAAGUUUAUGUAAAGACAAGAGCAGUGACACAAAGGCUUCUCUCUCUCAACGAGGAAAGCAGCUGCUCUCAUCAUCCUUUUUGUUGUUUAGAGCCUAUUUGUAAGCUAGCCAGGUGUGGGAUUACACUAGGGAAGCCUCUUAUAAAAUGGUUCACUAAAUAGCAGUAACAAGUUAUUGUUUGUUUAUUUAGCUGACAGGUUCUGCCUUUAUUAUAGGCCUGUUAGUGUCAAUUAAUAAGUUAAACUGUAUUUCCACUUCACAAGUCUUACAUUUCCCACCAGGUGGUCAGCCCAGCUCAGCUCAUACCUUCCCACUCCACCACUUGUGAUCCAGGUACAAGGCAUUAUUUUAGGACACUAAGAAUUAGGUUGAUUAUAUGAAGUACAAAAGGAGUUGGGAGUACAUGCCUGGUGAUCUCGGAGACCUGAAGUAAAUGCUGUGGUAUGUGUCUAACUGUGGUUCACAGUUCUUCUGGGUUCAAGGUCAGAGGUUUCUUUACCAUGUGAAAUCCAUGUCCACAAGCUUCCGCUUAACCCUGGCUACAUAAUCAAGAUGUUGCUCAGCGUAGGGAUGGAAUAAAAGUGCAGUUACUAAUACAAGUGCACAUGGGCUAGGGGCCUCGUGACUGCAAGGAGCACAGAAAUCCGGUCUCUGGGGGAAGAGGGCUGUUACCAGAGUGGACAGUCUGUCCUCACGUGCUGACCACCCAUUUGGCUUGUUCUGGUUCUGCAGCUCUGCCCCUCCACUCCUCCUCUCUCCAGGCACCACAUGGUCGGUGCCCGUGCCUUCUGCUGUGCCUUGCCUUUCCCCUACAUUCAGCUAGACUUCCUAGAAAGGCUUAUUCUUUCUGCUUGGAGUGGCUACCGUUGUCCGCCUUAUCCCGCUUAGAGGCUCUACGUUUAUUUCUUCUACACGCACUCCUGGCCCUUUAGAGGGGGAGUUCAGCAGACACACCUUUGACUCUGGGGGGCAGGAUGGCACUCCUCAUCCUUGGUCAUUCUUCUUUGCCCUUUCAUGUCAUUUUCAGUGUAGAUGACAGAAUCUGGUACUUCAGUAUACCAUAAACAACAUCCCAUUUUGUCAUUGAAUUUUCUCUGCUUUAUUGUAGCAAGUAGCGUAUUUUCCAUUAAAAAUAUAUAUAUUGGGGCUGACCCCAUGGCUGAGUGGUUAAGUUCGCACACUCUGCUGUGGCGGCCCAGAGUUCAGAUCCUGGCGUGGACAUGGUACUGCUCGUCAGGUCACAUUGAGGUGGUGUCCCACAUGCCACAAGUGGAAGGACCCACAACUAAGAUAUACAACUAUGUAUGGGGACGUUUGGGGAGAUAAAGCAGAAAAC
ensembl:lncRNA